GGGCAAAAAGUGCAUCCGU
rnacentral:misc_RNA from 1 species